GGUUUUAAUUCCAUAAUGCA
rnacentral:miRNA from 1 species